ensembl:rRNA 5S_rRNA 5S ribosomal RNA
GCUAGCAGCAUACCACCCUGCAUCCCACUGCUGGCUUGCCUCUGAAGCUGAGCAGGGUUGGUCCUGGAUGGGAGACCAGAUGCUGCUGGAA